UUAUCGUCAUAUUCACAGCGUAAUUACGAUCGAUGUAUAUUUCAAACACACUGAUAUGUCGCACGGAUUUCGUAUGAUAAAAUUACGCGAUAAAAACUAUAAUUACGAUAUUUACGAUCGAAUACAACAAAAAAAUAGGUGCACUAACAACCUACCCAGUUAUGGGAA